GAUGAACGCUGGCAGCAUGCUUAACACAUGCAAGUCGAGGGGGGAGUGGUGCUUGCACCAUGGUAACCAUGGCGGACGGGUGAGUAACGCGUGAGGAACUUACCUGCGGGACCGGGAUAACAGCCGGAAAGUGCUGAAAAGACCGGAUACGGAAAUUAAUCAGCCUAGAGUAGUGAGGAAACGAGACGCCUGCGGAGCGCCUUGCGGUCUAUUAGCUAGGUGGAGGGGUAACGGCCCACCAAGGCGACGCUAGGUCGCCGGCAUGAGUGGGUGGACGGCCACACGGCGACGGGGAUACGGCGCUGACUCCUACGGGAGGCAGCAGUGGGGCAUAUUGGACAACGGGGGCAGCCCUGAUCCAGCAUUUCGGUCGUCACGAAGACGGUUUUGGGAUUGUAGUGGGCUUUCAUCAGGGAAGAAGGAAGUGACGGUACCUGCAGAAGAAGCGACGGCUAACUACGUG
rnacentral:rRNA from 1 species